rnacentral:lncRNA from 1 species
GUUAAAAAAAAAUUUAAUCAUGAUUUUAUUAAUCCAGCUUUUGCAAAUUGGUUUAUUAUACGUAUUCAUUGAAAAUGUCAUUUUGAUGAUAAUUCUUAAAUUUUUUUCAGUUGCUGAAAUAUUUUUUCAAAUUAUCGUAAAUAAAACAUUGUUUACGUUAGAACUGCCUAGCCGAGGCCAGAUGGAAUCAUGGCCAGGACAGACUUCGCUCUGUCCACGGACAGUAUUUACCGGUCACCAGACACCUUAGCCGCAGACAGGGAAACUCUGGCUGAUAAGAUACGACCGUGGACAGAGUGUCGGUUGAAAAUUUUAGGCCACGAAAAACCUGUCCGAGGUCAAUCUUGUUCAGAAAACAAAGUGAGGAUACCUGUCCGUACUUAGGGUAAUUCUAGCCGAGGACAUAAAACGGUCUUCGACCCUGGCCGAUCUCAGGUUAGCCUAGCUGAGGCCAGAGUCCUGCCCAGUGACAGACUAGGCGUAGCUGAGGACGACCAAACAAACCUUCCAGGGGUGCAUUCGUAGAAACGUAGGCAACAACCCACAGAAAUUUCCUGGUCGUGACCGGAUGACGUCAUCGGUCGAAGCUGGAGAUGUGUUUCUAUGAACAGCAGUGGUCGCUUAAUCACGUGUACAAUAUGGCGGUUGUUUUUGAAAACCAAAGCCAAAAGAACAAAAUAAUUAUAUCAGCG